AGAGCCGCGGUAACGUGAUUUGGGGUAAAUGGACCCCUGACUGGGAAGAAGUGCCCCUUCUAGAAACUCCUCGGAGUGAGGGGAAAAGGGAUGGGGGCAAAGGGAGAGUUCAGGGGUGUGGACGUGACGGGGGAGAGCGCUGUGUGCACGGGGCUUUAAGGAGAACGGGGUAGAAGAUGGAUUCAGAAAGAGGAGGGAGGGGGUAAAUGGCGGCUCGUAUAGAGAUGAUAGCGGCUGUGGUGGGGAAUGGAGCACAAGAUGGUGACAGCUGAUGCUGAGGGAAAUACACUCUGUGGUAACUUACAGUUCCUGCAGGACAAGUUCCCAUAGCGGGGCAUAGGAGCAUGUAAUACGUGAUAAAGUGGUGACACAUGUGUAGAGAUGAACAUCACAUCAGGGGGUGGGGGGCACAUUCCAGGGGCUAACAUCAGAAGGGAGGACAGGCAUUCUUAGAUAGUGGCCGCUUCCUGUCUGUGGGACACAUCUUCUCCAUCCCAGCAGUUCAGAGGUCACACAGGACCACUUUUACUCAGCCUGAGGGGCCACAACUACACAGCUCUUUCCCGAGCUCCAGGGGUCUGUUUACCUUUAACAGCAGGGAUCUUGGGGAGGAACCAUUUGCUCAGCAUUAGCAUUCGACUAGACAGGGGCAGUAGGUCAGAACGGCCAGCCAAGUCGCAGCAGCUCGAUUCCUCCCCGUCUUGACCAAGGAGAAAGCAUUCCUCAUAGGGAGGUGACAGAUGCACUUUAAUGGUUCAGAAAUUCUGGUGUUUUCUAGAACUUCCCUUUUACGGUAUGAAAAGAUUACACUCUUGGAUGGAUUAAAGAAGAUGUUGUUACUUUUCCCACCUACCAAUUUUACCUUUCCCUCUAUAAGAAUCCUGUCUUCCAGUGGCACGAAAGAAUUCACUUAAAGACGUUUGCCCCACAUAUGACAUGCCACAAGGGCAUUUUUGAUCUGCUGCAACACCUGCUCCUCCAGCGAAAGAAAACAGUAUCGCUGAGUGUAAGGAAACAAAGAACUAAAUGCUAAAAAGAAGACUCGAUUUAUAUGAGUUGAUAACAGCCCAAAGAUACACCACUUUCUACCAAAGGACUGCUAGUUUAUUUAUGCACAAAUAUAUUGUUUUUUAUGUAUUUAUGACAAAAAAAACUAUAAAG